rnacentral:misc_RNA from 1 species
AGAUACAUUUGUAUAAAAGGAGGUAAACAACCAAACUGUAGAAUGCAGGGCACUUUAGCUUCGAUUUUGACUCUGAGCUACCUGGAUUCUAGACAGGUCGCUCAAUCUUGAUUGAAGAUCAAGUAGCAUGAUAAACACUGGAUAGUAGAUACACAAUAGAAGGUGUGAAUUUGAAUAACAGCAUCACAGUGGUCAGAUAAUGUGAUCCCAAAACCACUGAUUUCUA